rnacentral:rRNA from 1 species
GAUGAACGCUGGCGGCGUGCCUAAUACAUGCAAGUCGAGCGAACAGACGAGGAGCUUGCUCCUCUGACGUUAGCGGCGGACGGGUGAGUAACACGUGGAUAACCUACCUAUAAGACUGGGAUAACUUCGGGAAACCGGAGCUAAUACCGGAUAAUAUAUUGAACCGCAUGGUUCAAUAGUGAAAGACGGUUUUGCUGUCACUUAUAGAUGGAUCCGCGCCGCAUUAGCUAGUUGGUAAGGUAACGGCUUACCAAGGCAACGAUGCGUAGCCGACCUGAGAGGGUGAUCGGCCACACUGGAACUGAGACACGGUCCAGACUCCUACGGGAGGCAGCAGUAGGGAAUCUUCCGCAAUGGGCGAAAGCCUGACGGAGCAACGGCGCGUGAGUGAUGAAGGUCUUCGGAUCGUAAAACUCUGUUAUUAGGGAAGAACAAAUGUGUAAGUAACUAUGCACGUCUUGACGGUACCUAAUCAGAAAGCCACGGCUAACUACGU